ensembl:lncRNA
CCUAAAACAAGCUGAUAGCCUCUGUCUCAUUAGAGACAUGCAAGUUCAAGGCAAAAUGAUAACAAAAAUAUGAAGAUAAGGCAUAAUUCAAGGAAAAGGAUGAGCGUAUGAACUUGGACUCAUUGCUGGAGGAAGCAGAAAGAACCACUGCAGCCAUUCAGCCCAGUCCCUUCACAAUCCCAGAUACUUAUCAUAGAAACUGGAUUAAAUCACCUAAGGAUAAGUUCCUCAGGUGAAAAUGAAGCAGACAAAAAUCAUUUUCAUUAUUUUUUUCUCCAGUCUGCACUCACUGUCAGAGGCAGAGAUGUGUUAUGUGGAGGUAUGGGACUCAGGGGACAAAAGGACUGAGCACAGCCCUUCUGAAAAGGACUUGGAGGUAAAUAUACAGAUUGCCAGCUGUAAAAGCACAUAUUGAGUACACCUGAAAGCAAUUUGCCCAGAUAAAGCUUUUGGGAUCUCACUUUUGGCUUUCUACAAGAGGGGAUUUAAUGCCUAGAGCCUGAUUCUGAACAUGGGAACACUGUGUAUGAUCAGUACAAUUCAGGAAGAGUUUGAACUAGAAAAGGCAUAGAGUUCCUGCCUUCAACCCUCCUGGAGAUCUCUAAGCUGCUGGGAUGCCAGGAAAAGCCACAAUAUGAGGUGUACCACCAUCUGGGAUGUUGUCAUGUACUUACUCUACAACCAUAAUCCACUAGGAUCUUCAGUUCAGCAGAUCAAAGCCAGGAAGAUUGUUGGGCCAUCUUUCUCCUGGAUAACACUAAAGAGAUAAUUAACAUGGUUGCUUAUUAAAUGUGCAGGAGCUGUGUUCCAGCGCGAUGUAUCACACAGUCUGCCAGAUGCUGUCCUUAGGAGCGAGGCAAAUCUGCAACUCACAGGAAAAGAGUUAAUUUUCCAAAAUAGCUUUGCUUUUCAGAGCUUAGAUACAUUUAAAUUAAAAUGAAGCCAGCGAAUGCCCAUAAAGAGCCAAAUGAGUUAAAAGCUUGCAAGUUUUCUGCCUAAUUCCUUCAGUUGAACUGGUCUGGUUUGGUCUGCUGAGUAAGUCCAUUUUUAACAGUGCAUGAUCUGAUGUGGCUGCAAAUGCCCACGAGGCUGUUCUAGAUGGGGAAAUAUUUUAAAAUCAAUAUACUGUGCCCUUAUCUAUCUCAGGUCUGUUUGGAUCUGUAGUUUAAAAUAAAUUAAGUCAUUAGAAUGUGCAGUAUGGUUAAUGCUAAUGAGCC